GUAGGGAAUAUUGGGCAAUGGAUGCAAGUCUGACCCAGCCAUCCCGCGUGCCGGAAGAAGGCCCUCAGGGUUGUAAACGGCUUUUGACGGGGAAGAACCGACAGGAUGCGUCCUGUUUUGACGGUAGCCGUUGAAUAAGCACCGGCUAACUCCGUGCCAGCAGCCGCGGUAAUACGGAGGGGGCGCGCGUUGUCCGGAUUUAUGGGGUUUAAAGGGUGCGUAGGCUGGAAGGUCAGUCAGCGGUGAAAAGCUAUCGCUUAACGAUAGUCUUGCCGCAGAUACUUCCUUUCUUGGAUGAGGAGGAGGCCACUGGAACGGAUGGUGUAGCGGUGAAAUGCAUAGAUAUCAUCCAGAACACCGAUUGCGAAGGCAGGUGGCUGUACCUUAAUCGACGCUGAUGCACGAAAGCAUGGGGAGCAAACAGGAUUAGAAACCCGGGUAGUCC
rnacentral:rRNA from 1 species